UAAGUAGGUGGCAAGCGUUGUCCGGAUUUACUGGGCGUAAAGAGCGCGCAGGCGGUUGGAUAAGUCGAAUGUGAAAGCCCCCGGCUCAACUGGGGAGGGUCAUUCGAAACUGUCCAACUCGAAGGCAGGAGAGGGAAGCGGAAUUCCCAGUGUAGCGGUGAAAUGCGUAGAUAUUGGGAAGAACACCGGUGGCGUAAGCGACUUGCUGGGCCGUAACUGACGCUGAGACGCGAAAGCGUGGGGAGCAAACAGG
rnacentral:rRNA from 1 species